AGAAACCUUAUGAAUGUAAGCAAUGCGAAAAGGCAUUCAAUAUAAGUUCCCAUCUUGCUAGAUGUCAGAGGAUCCACAUUGGGGAAAAAUCAUAUGAUUGCAAGGGAUGUGGAAAGACAUUCAUUAGGAGCUCGCAAGUUAUUGUACAUCAUAGAAUUGUAACUGUGAAAAUGUGGGUUUCAAGACUGAAUUGCCAAAACUGUAAAGGUUUCGGCCAAACUGUAAAGAUAAUUUUUAGUGUCUUGAUUUAAGCAAAAAAUAAGUGGUCGCUAUGGGGAAAAUCCCAAAUAUGAAAAUAAUCCUAGUCAGCUGGGUUUUAUGAAGAUUUUUAUUAAUACAAAUGAACGAAUUGAGGGAAGAGAGAGUGUAACAGAAAAUAGUAGGAAGGGUCUGAGACAUAGGCCUGAGCCUUAAGAGAUACUAGUCAGUGUUUAUCACUCACCACAAGAUCAUCCCAAGGAAAACUCCAGUCCUUCACUGUAAUCCUCAACUCCUGAACUGAGUUCAGAUUCUCAGCUCCUCCAAACUAACUCCAAAGUCCAAGCCUUUCCUCUGAACUCCUGCCCUCCGUUUAAAGAGAAUCUUCUAUUAUGUCACCUCCCCCAAAUUUUCACAGCUACCAAUCAUAGUAGACUCUUUUUACCAGGACAUUCCAUCUUUAGUUCACAUCUAUGUUUUGCUAUCACCUUCUCUGAUUAGAUUAUAUCUUCUGAAUAUUUCACAUCUCUGCCCUUUGUAAGUUGCUUCAAUUUUUAGUGAUUAAUUUAAUCUUUAUAGGUAUCUAUCAGCUUUUUGUAUUAGAUCUAGAAAUAGACCACCUAGCUUAAGGUUUUUGAUUCACUAUAAGUAUGAGUUGGGGACUUUUCAUUAUUCCAUUAGGAAUUUGUAAAUUUAUCUUGUCCUAAGGCUCUGUCUGAGCAGGGUGGAGUAAUUUUAAAGUUCUCAAUACAUUCCUGGCCAAGUACCUCCAUUGUUAUGUGGGGAAUAGCUUAAUCAAAUCUUCUAAGUUAUAGUCUGAGCAAUUUUAAGAUUCACAAUCACCCUGAUGAUCAUUGGGAGACUAGUCUCCCCAUUGAUCAUUUAACGUAAUCGUCUUGUAGUCCUAAGUUACUUCUAACUACAAAUGUAUACAAUAUUCAAUUUUCCAAGAGGAAAUUACACUUGUUAGGGAGGAAUAGAAAAGAAAGAAAGCAAAACCAAUGUUUUGCUAGGUGCAUUGACAGAAAGCCUAAUUAGGGGCAGUCUCCUUUGCAUAAAACCAUACAUUUACAAUGAAUAUUCAAUUAAACUUCAGAUCAAACAACCAUAUCCAAAGUUCUUUCUGGAUUUUCUUGAUGUAGCAUGGGUUUUCUGGUAUAUUUCUGCAACAGUUCAUUCUCUGGAUUUAGGAGUUAGCAAGCUUCUUCCUUGAAGAUCUUUUGUUGAAUAAAAAAAUAAAAAAUCUUGGAUUUUUAGUAACAUGCAAUGCCCCCUGAUGUGGGUGUUAAAAAACGACCGAUUCAGCUCUGGAUUCAAUGUUGAGUUAUGGGGGUGUAUGACUCAAUUAUCAAAAGAAGAGAAGAAUACAACUGAAAAUAUGAGGGGAAAAAAUUCAAAAUAGGCCCUUGUAUAGGUUAAAUUUAAAGUAAUUUCUAUCCCACAGGUCUGUAGGACAGAAUGCAGUAAUAUUUCACUUAUCCAUUUGCAGCCAAGACUACAGGAAGUUGCCAUAGAAGAAGAAGAAAAAGGAACUAGAAUUCUUAUUUUAUAGGGAAGUGUUCCUUCAUUUGAUUUUUGACAUUCUUAGGGAUAUAGGAAGCCAGGAUGAUAGUCGAACUUUGACUGUUUGACUAAACAAAUGAGUAUUUCACAAAAUGUGUAGAUACAAGGAAGUCAUUUGACUUAAUAUGUCAAGCGUCACAACCUCAAGUCCACAUUAGUUUUUCCCUGUUUGCUCUUUUUGGCACUAUUCAGGUUAAGCCUGUGCUCCUUGUUUUUAUCUCUUUUUCUGGAAUCAGAUACAAACAUUAAUCACAGUCCCAUAAUAUUUCAUCAAUAAAUGGCAGGUUCCCAUAGUUUAAAACUUUUGGGUAUAGCGAGUAUAUAUAUGAAUUAAACUUCUAUUAGUGCAAAAAAAAUAUCAAUUAUGUGUACCUUUAGUACAAGAAACAAGAGAAAAAUCAAUUAUUCUAAUCAAAAUAAAGGGUUUAGGCUCUAAUUUGAGGAGUGUUUAGUAAUUUCCCCAUAACAAGGAAUCCAUUGUCUGCAAAUCCCUGUUGCUCCUAAAAUUGCUCUCAACUGUUUCUUAGUGGUAGGAGUGCUUAAAGUUUGAAUAUUUUCAAUUCAUAUUGGAGAAAUAUAGCAAGCAAGAAGAACCCCAAAUAUUCUACUUUAGGGAGAUACCACUGAAGCUCAUCCUUUGAGAUUUUAAGUCCUCUUUUGUGCAAUUCCAGAGAAGGUGUUUGCUAUCUUCCUGACAUGCUUUUGUGUCUGUUGAAGCCAAUAGUAGAUCAUCCACAUAUUUGAUUAAUUUGCUAUUUUUUAAUGUUCUAUUAUCUGUAUCUUGGCUCAAGAUUUGUGCAAAUAAACUCGGGCUUUUUACAUAAGCCUGAGGCAUAUGCAAUUUUAAGAAUCACAGGAUCCACACUGGGGAGAAACCUUAUGAAUACAAUCAAUGUGGAAAGGGAUUCAGUAUGAGCUCUAGUCUUGCUAGAUGUUAGAGAAUCCACACUGGGUAGAGACCUUAUAAAUGGAAAGAAUGUGGAAAGAAAUUCAGUUGGAACUCCCAUCUUGCUGUACUUCAGAAAACCUACACUGGAUAGAACCAUAAAAAUAAAAGCUAUGUGGAAGGAUCUUCAUAUUUGGUAAUUCAGUACCUGUCUUGUUGUGUGAAGGAAAUUUUCUCUCCCCACCUUUCUAGGGCAGCAUUGUGUAAAUAGAAAUCUGUAACCCUAAAAUCUGAUUCUUAGCACCAAACUCUCAUCCUCUUUUUAUGUGCUGACAUAAUCAGAGUAUGAAUUUGGUGGAGCCCUGCCUCUUGGUCUCUUCUCUUCCUGUGAUGGCAGAUGGGAACAUGGGGAUUUUGAACAGUUUGGAAUAUAGUCAUGUUGUUAUAUUUUGUUAGAUAACAAACUGAAAUGACCAUAAUUGAGGUAUUAGAUAUUAAUAAUCUUAUAAUGAUCUGCAAACAUAAUAUAUAUGAGGAUAUAGGCACUGAAUAAUUUUUAUAAAGCAAACUUAUUUGACUAUGAACUCAAAACUAAUGAUUAUAUUAUAAAAAUCAUCACAAAGGCUAAUACUAUUACAAUCAUAAAAUAGGGGUUUCACACUUUCACAUACAAUGUCAAAUACAAUUAUCCUGAUAGAAGAGAUAUGAAUUGAAGUACUACAUUAUAACUGAUUUUAAGACAGUUCUGUCAAAUAUAUUCAUCCAUAUAAAUUGUAACCUACAGAAUCUUUUCUGAAGAGACAUUUGCUGUCAGCAUUUCAAAUAGUAGGGACCUCUACUUUCAAAUUAGUCUGCUUCUCAGGGUUUAUGUCUAUCUACCUGAUCAGUAGGAGGGUCUGAGCCCUGGGCAUGAAGGAGGAAAAGAGGAAGGUAUUGAAGAGAUGGGGAAAGUGGUAAUGGCCCAGGUAGAAUUCAGGCUCUGAGGUAGAAUUUGAAGGCCUGAGGAAGAACAGGAUUUAGGACUCACAAGGAAAGCUCUAAGAAUUUUAGAGACCAAGAGAAACUCCUUAGAAAGUGUGAUGCUACCUGAGAAGACUGAAUCGAAGAGGUUAAGGUGAGCACAGAGUUCAUAUUCCAAGCAGUGGAAACAACUAAGGGAAAGGCAACAUGAUAAGAUGAAGGGUCCUGAUCAAGAAUCAUUCAGGAGGCCAGUAUCACUGGGUCAGAGACAGAAUAGAGAGGAGUUCUUGUGAGAGAAACACACCCAAGUUUGUAGAAGUAUCUUAGGCCAAGAAUGGGAGACUCAAAUUCCAUUCAAUUUGAAAGAAAAUGAUUUUAUUUGAAGGAGUAGUUUGUGGUUGUGUAAUAACUUUUGGAAUAGUCUUGAGGCUAAUCACGUAGCCACAGGGAUGAUAGACAAGUACAAGGGCUAGUAGAACUUUUAAAAAACUGCAGAGUAAGAGAUAUGUAUGUCUGAUCUUCCUCAUUGGAAUCUGUCCUACUCUACCCUACACAAUUUUCCCUUCUUACUCAAUGCAUCCACUCUUGCCCAACUUAUCCCUCUUCCCACCCCUGCUGUCUCCUGUUCUUCCUCUUCUGCCUCAGCCCCUCCCACCCUAACCUAUUCAUCCCUCCUCCUGAUCCUACCAUUCAUUGUUCUACCACUCCCUGCCCAUAGUCCCACCCCCUCAGCCCCAUCCCUUUUCAUACCUACCCCACUGAAAUCCAAGCAUGGAGCCUAGAGGCAGGAACACAAAAUGAUUCAGUUAAAAGCUUCUUCCUCUUAAAAGAAGUACCCACCUUAAUAAAGGCCUAAGUUUGAUGUCUUUAAGACCACUCACUCAUCAUCCCCCCCCCAUGAUCUAAGUUGAUUCAGAGAAGACACCCCUUUUUCAAAAAAGAACCAAUCAUAAUUAUAAGAAAAAAUGGAGAUCAUAUUCAAAACAUUUGACCCCAAUUGAGUGGAUAAUGAAAUUUUAUUAGAUUUUUUUUUGCCAAAGAGAAAAAUAAAACCUCUCUUGCUUAGAAUGAGCAAGGUAGAAGAGCUACUCAUUGACAGAUUCAGGAUCCAAAAAGGAGCCCCAA